AGAUUGAACGCUGGCGGCAGGCCUAACACAUGCAAGUCGAGCGGUAGAGAGGUGCUUGCACCUCUUGAGAGCGGCGGACGGGUGAGUAAUGCCUAGGAAUCUGCCUAGUGGUGGGGGAUAACGUUCGGAAACGGACGCUAAUACCGCAUACGUCCUACGGGAGAAAGCGGGGGACCUUCGGGCCUCCUCGCCUAUUAGAUGACGUCCGUAGGGUCGGUAUUAGCGUUAGGUUGGUGGAAGGUAAGUCGGCUCCAACCGAAGGCGAACGUACUACCGUAACGUGGUCU
rnacentral:rRNA from 1 species